GACGAACCGAGCGAACGUUGUUCGGAAUCACUGGGCUUAAAGGGCGCGUAGGCGGGCUGUCAAGUUUGGGGUGAAAUCCCGCGGCUCAACCGUGGAACUGCCUCAAAUACUGACGGUCUCGAGGGAGGUAGGGGCGAGCGGAACUAAUGGUGGAGCGGUGAAAUGCGUUGAUAUCAUUAGGAACUCCGGUGGCGAAGGCGGCUCGCUGGACCUUUUCUGACGCUGAGGCGCGAAAGCUAGGGGAGCAAACGGG
rnacentral:rRNA from 1 species